rnacentral:rRNA from 1 species
UACAGAGACUGCAAGCGUUAUUCGGAUUCACUGGGCGUAAAGGGUGCGCAGGCGGCCGGGUGUGUCAGAUGUGAAAUCCCGAGGCUCAACCUCGGAACUGCGUCUGAAACUAUUCGGCUAGAGUACUGGAGAGGGUAACGGAAUUCACGGUGUAGCAGUGAAAUGCGUAGAUAUCGUGAGGAACACCAGAGGCGAAGGCGGUUACCUGGACAGUUACUGACGCUCAGGCACGAAAGCAUGGGGAGCAAAAGGG